CAAGAGCUUUAACCCUAUUUUUUAGAAUAGAUUGAAACCCAAGGUUUAAGAUUGUGGUAACAUCAAUCAAGUAAGUAGUAAGAUGAUGGCUUUUGCUUCCUCCGAUGUUUUCUCAAUUUCAUCACACCUUCUUUCUUACUGGUAUGCUACUCUUCCUUCCUUCUUGCAAUUCUGUUUUGUAUUUCAUCAUCAUUAUUGCUGUUGCGAGUAUAGAGAUUAUUUUCUUUUUUAAGAUUACAAGGUCGUUCACUAAUCAUACAUAGUGAAUUCAUCAUAUAACUAACUGUCUGUGAUUUAAGAUUUGAUCCCUGCGAUAUGGAUUUUCAUCUCCAAUGUAUGUAAUAUGUUUAGUAUAAUAGCCCAUCUUUUUUCAUUCUCAUCAUGUUCUGUGUGUGUCUGUAACAAAAUAUCCUUUUGGGUUUGCAGAUCUUGUUCUUGUGUGUGUGUGGGUGGGGGUUAAAGAAGAACAUUGAUUGAUGAGGAAGGGAGGAAGAAACAUGGUAAAGUUACAAAACUACCCUUAAUUGAUUAGAUUUAACUGAAAAUUUUAACUUAGUUAGUGCUAAAGGAUGAAAGAUGUAAUGAGUUUUUUCCAAUAAAAGAUUGUGACUGUAAUUAUUAAACUUAAAGAUUAUCCAUUGCAAUCUACUACAAACAUAAAGUGUAAUUUACCCUAAAAAAAGAUAAAAAAACGAGAAUAAGGAGAAACAUUGGACUCCGUUAUCCAAGACCCCCAAAGAGGUUCUUAUGAAUAACCACAAAGUAAUCAUCGUGUUUAUUUAGAACGAUUAGAUGAAACAACCUUAAUCUCUUUAUCUAGAAGCUAACAAAAGAAGGCCAAUAUAAUUCAUUCAAACAAGCUUAAGCUUUUGGGGGGUGUUAGACUCCAUGAAUAUCACAUUCGUUCCAAUUUAUCUCUCUCUACCUUCCCCCAUCUCCCUAAAAACUCUGCCAGUAUGUUAUGUUAGAUCACAACAAGUAGGGGGGCUGUUUAAAAAAAGUGGUCCUGAUUGAAUGAAAUAUCUCAUUAGUCCUCCCAUCACCCUUUUAAUUGUCGGCAAGAAAAGCUGAAUUCAUGCUGCUGCUUCUGAUUCUCAAUGCAAAGAUUAGCUGAAUCCGGUGUGCCACAACAAGAAGGUUGGUAAUACAAUCUUUAGUCUUGGUUUUUUUACUGAUGGGAUGGGAUGAAGAUAAAACUAUGGAUUAUGUUACAAUUUCAAAUUACAUAGCAAUCUUUAUUUAUGUGUAUAUAUAUAUUUCAAGAAUUCAUGUGAAUGAGCUAGUUUGAUUUUAAAAGUAAAACUAUAUGUAUUUUCAUGAUUGGAAGUUAGCAGCAGCUACCUUUCUGUUAAUAAUUCGAUGAUUUAGUGGAAGCACAUUCUUGCUGCCAUGAAUGCAACAAGUUGGAGACUUGAUGGUGCUGAUUGCAGUCUUUAUAUGGUUUCUCAAGUGCCAAAGCCAUCUCAAGAAGCUAAUGCUAGCUAGCAUUGGCAACGAUGAUUGUCAUGUCGUAUGUAUGGAUGUAUAUAUUUCUUUCUUUCUUUCUUUUAUUUCUAUUCAUGUUUCAAGCAAAGAGUACUUGUGUUGGCCGCACACUUUGUUAUACAUAACUCUUUUGUAGUAUAUGCAGCAGCACACACAAGUUUUACAGCCUUGAUGGGGUACUCUCACCUGAAUUAGUAAACCUUCCUUACCUCCGGUCCAUAGAGAGAUUUUGCUUACAAUUACUUAUUAAGUGGCACAAUACCGCCUGAAUGGGGUUCAACAACGUUACAAGAAAUCUCCCUUCUUGGUAACCGUUGUUUAACUGGCCGGAACUAGGCAAUAUCACCACCCUCAUAAAUAAAACUGGACUUUGAGUUUUCAGGACCUCUUCCAUCCGAGUUAGGGAGAUUAACAAAUUUGAGUAAAUUGUACGGCUGAUCAAGUUUUUCAGAUGCAAAUUUUCUUCCUAUUAUUUCUCAACAACAACUGGAAGGCUAUUUAUGCCAUAAUAUUAUAUUUCAGGAUGGAUGUUGUCUUCAAACAUGUUGACCGGAAAGCUGCCAGCGACCCUCGGUCAACUAGGAAAUCUAAAAGACUUUAGGAUAAACGAAAACAAUUUCAGUGAGUGGGUCGAUACCUGAUUUUAUACAAAACUGGAGAUUACUUACUAGAUUAGAGAUGGUGACUCAUGGGACCUAUUCCUUCAAACAUAUCUCUUCUUGAGAAUCUAAUUGAUCUG